AUUGAACGCUGGCGGCAGGCCUAACACAUGCAAGUCGAGCGGAUGAAGGGAGCUUGCUCCUGGAUUCAGCGGCGGACGGGUGAGUAAUGCCUAGGAAUUUGCCUGGUAGUGGGGGAUAACGUCCGGAAACGGGCGCUAAUGCCGCAUACGUCCUGAGGGAGAAAGUGGGGGAUCUUCGGACCUCACGCUAUCAGAUGAGCCUAGGUCGGAUUAGCUAGUUGGUGGGGUAAAGGCCUACCAAGGCGACGAUCCGUAACUGGUCUGAGAGGAUGAUCAGUCACACUGGAACUGAGACACGGUCCAGACUCCUACGGGAGGCAGCAGUGGGGAAUAUUGGACAAUGGGCGAAAGCCUGAUCCAGCCAUGCCGCGUGUGUGAAGAAGGUCUUCGGAUUGUAAAGCACUGUUAGUUGGGAGGAAGGGCAGUAAGUUAAUACAUUGCUGUUUUGACGGUACCAACAGAAUAAGCAACGGCUAACUUCGUG
rnacentral:rRNA from 1 species